rnacentral:rRNA from 1 species
UACGGAGGGUGCAAGCGUUGUCCGGAUUUAUUGGGUUUAAAGGGUGCGUAGGCGGCCUCUUAAGUCAGUGGUGAAAGCCCGCGGCUCAACCGCGGAACUGCCAUUGAUACUGGGAGGCUUGAGUACAGACGAGGUAGGCGGAAUUGAAGAUGUAGCGGUGAAAUGCUUAGAUAUCUUCAAGAACACCGAUUGCGUAGGCAGCUUACUAGGCUGGUACUGACACUGAGGCACGAAAGCGUGGGGAGCGAACAGG